UACGUAGGUGGCAAGCGUUGUCCGGAUUUACUGGGCGUAAAGGGCGUGCAGGCGGUUUGUUAAGUGCAGGGUGAAAGCUCCCGGCUCAACUGGGAGAGGUCCUUGCAUACUGGCAGACUUGAGGGAGGCAGAGGAAAGUGGAAUUCCCGGUGUAGUGGUGAAAUGCGCAGAUAUUGGGAAGAACACCAGUGGCGAAGGCGGUUCUCUGGGACGGUACUGACGCUGAGACGCGAAAGCGUGGGGAGCGAACAGG
rnacentral:rRNA from 1 species